CCUAUAAAAGCAAGUUCCCUUUCUUUGUUCUUUGGAUUUGCCUGUGGUCCUCCUUCCGUAGUCCUCAUAUCUGGAAUUGCAGUUCCAUUGACUAUUCCCAGGGGCCUACCGUUGAGGGAACUGGGCUGCAGAGAGGAGAAGGGACCAGCGAGGGCCCACAGUGGGCCAGUGACAGGCCUGGGCUGGACCCUCGGCCUCCUGACUCCUGCUCCAGGAGCAAGAAGAAAGCAAGCACACGGAACCGGGAAGAAAAGACCCUUCCUCCUGUAGCACCCUCUAGUGCCCUCUACUGACAAAGCUUAACAUCAUAUGUCCACUGACAAAGGAGAAAUGUUCACAGGGUCCACAGCAUCACAAAGCCGGACAAUGAAGGUUGCAGUGGGGCCGGUGCCUUACCUAGGUCCUCCUGCCAACAGCCGCCUGUGAGCUCUGUAACCUUGGACAGAUACUCUAAUCUCCUCGAACCUCCGUUUCUUCAUCCAUAUAAUGGGGAUAAUUAUUGUUGUUUCAUCCC